rnacentral:rRNA from 1 species
UACGAAGGGGGCUAGCGUUGUUCGGAUUUACUGGGCGUAAAGCGCACGUAGGCGGAUCUUUAAGUCAGAGGUGAAAUCCCAAGGCUCAACCUUGGAACUGCCUUUGAUACUGGGGAUCUCGAGUCCGGGAGAGGUGAGUGGAAUUCCGGAGUGUAGAGGUGAAAUUCGUAGAUAUUCGGAGGAACACCAGAAGCGAAGGCGGCUCACUGGCCCGAUACUGACGCUGAGACGCGAAAGCUGGGGGAGCAAACGGG